AAUUCCCCCCCCCAUGUCUUUGAACACACAAGUAAAAUCUAGACCUGCACCUCUCUAUUAUAGAAGUGUAACAAAGCUGAUAUAGAUUCCUGAGAAGAAAGUAAAGUGGGAUUCCUGUGGAUAUAUCAGGAUUGUGGAGAAAUGUAUAUCGCUGGAUGUUGUCAUUUAAAGGAGCGGAUUCGUCUCUGACAGUCGCCGAUGAAUCAGGAGCUCAGAGACACAACUGAUAAAAGGAUCUGGGGAGACAAGGCGAAGAUUUUUUCUCUAUAUUGACUUUCAGGUUGCAGAUCAGCGGCAGAGAUUGUGCUGAGUAUUUCUCUGCUCCAGGCUUCAGCCGUAUCUGCUCUUUCACAAUGAUGAGGAAAACAAAUAGAACAAAACACAUCCGCAGCUCUGGGGUACGGACACAGCGCCUCCCGCGAGCUACAUUGGGUAUCCAUGUCCUUAUCACAUAAUUAUUUACUCGUACAACUUCAAUACAGUUUAAGGGAAAACUGAUUGGGGAAUUAUGUAUAAAAU